GGAUGGAAAGACCCAUAACAGCCCUGGCCUAAAUGAACAGAGUUGGGGAGACCCCUGUGAAACUCAGAAGCAGAAGUCAAUGACUGACCAAGGCUGCCUGUUCACAGUCACAUAUCUUGAACAAAACCAUGGAAGUCUCAUGCUUCAGCUUAAUAAAAUCCACUUCCCUGAAAAACUCUUUAGGCCUGUCUCUGGGGUUUUUCUGAGGGCCAGAGGAAGCAGUGAAAAGGAGGUGAAAACUAACUAAGUAUCAGGGUACCUGAGCAUCUGCUCCUGCAGUCCCCUUGAAAAUGUAAAGUCUCUUCGGUUUGUGACUUUCUCUUAUUGAUGGAAUGAUAUUGCAUAGCCAAAAUUAUUGUUUAAUACAUGGGAAAGCACCCAUUUCAGGAUAGAAUUUAGUAUCUGUAAUCAGAUAUUAAUCAGUUAAUACUAACUAAUACUAAUACCAAUCAGUAGUAAGUAAAUACUCUCCAUCAGAACCCAUUUGUUAAUUAUAAUUUAUUAAUUAUUAAUUGGUCUGAAUGACAUUCCUAGAAGGCUGCAUUCUCUUUUUUCAUGGGCCUGAGAUGCUACACCUUGUUGUGUCUACUGACUUGAUCCAGUAUUCUUAUUUGCCAGUUAUUUCUUAUUUUAUAUUUCUUCCAAAUGUUUAUAUAUAUAUAUAUAUAUAUAUAUAUAUAUAUAUAUAUAUAUAUAUACUCACAGAGAUCCACCUGGCUCUGCCUCCUGAGUGCUGGGAUUAAAGGAGGGCAUGACCACCACUUGGCUCAAUUAAAUAUUUAUAUACAAUUUAUUUCAAUGAUGUUUUCCCCUCUGUCAACUCCUCCUAGAUUCAGAUCCUCCCCACCUCCCUACUCAUUUAUGGUGAUGUUUUGUUUGUGAUCUAACAAAUAAAGCUUGCUUGAAGACAGAGUGUGGAGCUAAACCACUAGUUAGCCAUAGAGGCCAGACAGUGGUGGCACACAUCUUUAAUCCCAGCACUUGGGGGGCAGAGGCAGAUAGAUCUCUGUGAAUUCAAGGCCACCCUGGGCUACACAAGAUUGAUCCUGUCUAAAAGAGAAACAGAGUCAGGCCGUGGUGGCACACACCUUUAAUCCCAGAACUUGGGAUCUUAUGCCUCUAAUCUCAGCACUAGGGAGGUGGAGACAGGAAGUGAUAUGGCGGGGCAGAGAGAGGACUAUAAUGUGGGAGGAGACAAGAGUUCAACUCUCUUUCAGGCUGAGGAUUCGGUAGAGGUAAGAACUCUUUCUAGUGACUGGCUACUCUGCUUCUCUGAAAUUUCAGCUUUUACCCUUGAUAUCUGACUCCAGGUUUUUAUUAUUAAGACCAAUUAGAAUUCAUUCUACACUCAUUCAACUUGAAUAUCUCCCUCUUUCCCCAUCCCCUCUCCCUACCUUCUGUCCCCUCCUUGGACUCUAACUAGAUUCUUAAGUCUACAUGGCAAGACAGUAUCCACUAUAAUCUGAAUCAGCUUCAAAGGCCCUCAGAAUGUUAACCUGUCACCUAGGCAACUGAGGACAAUGUCCUCACAUAUGUCUUGCCUUCAGAAUCCAAAAGAGGAAAAUUACGUUCACCUAUUUCUUACUAUGAUUUUGAAUAAGCAUUAUAUUCUCACUUCCUAUAAAUAUCAUCAUGGUAUCAUGUACCUGUAUUUUUAUGGGAUCUUCAACUAAUCUUGUUACCUUUAAAGUGCUUGUAAGUCUUCUGAUGUGCAUUCAACCUCACAUUAGCAAGACCAGGCCAUUCAGUACCAGUUCCAUGGUAUGAGGCUUCCAAUUUUGUGAAGUUUCCUGCAGGCUAGAGGUCAGAACCCUGAGACAGAUUAGUUGGAAACAGAGAUGUGAUAUCUCCUAAGGUAAAAUCUACUUCACUUGAGAUUUUGUUUUAUCAGAGAAAAAAAUUGGUAUACCAAAAGAUGUGUAAUUGAUACAUCUUGUUCCAUAUUAGGAACAAAAGUUGUAUUCUGAGCUACAGCCGGACUUAUUUUGUAUUACUCCAACAUAAUUUCCCACUAUCUAGUAAUGUCUGGACAAUGAAAAGAACAGUUAAAUGAAAACAUGGUAGAACUCAAUCUUUUUGCAAAUAUCAACUUUCUUGGUACAAAUCUUGUUAUCAGUCAAUAUCAAAGACUACUGCAGAGAUACGUGUACUUCCAAGGAGGCUGCCAGAACAAAUCAAGUGAAAAAAGUUCCUUCUUUCAUGGUUCUUUUGAUCUUUAUGGCCUAAGGGUUGGAAACCUAAGGGAAGUUCAUCAUCAGGGAGCUAGAACUCUGUGGGCACUUCUUCAGCUGCAGCAUCUCUCACCAUCCCUUUAACCACACCCAGUGCUUACCAAUAAUAGGUUUGGAAAGGGAGUAGUCAAAUCUAAUUUCUUUAGGGGAAAGUAAGUAGAAAACUGAUUUGCUGAGGAAACUGAAACAUUUUAUCUCUAAAAACCAAAUCUGAGCCUUCCAGAGAAGAAGGAAGCAUUAACCCAAGGAGGAAAGACUCUAGGUCAGUAACCAGCAGUUGGAACCGACCCUAUGAGAAAAAGUGCAUGGCUUAGACAAAGAGGACCAGGAAAACAGUGACAGAUGCCCCUGAAGACUGAGGAAGCUCUUCUGUGCAAGUCUUGGGAAAUUUCUUUCCUCCAAUAAGGAAAAAAACACAAAACAAGAAAACAACUGCAAGGUAUGCUGGUGAGGAUGUAUAGAAAGAAGAACACAUGCAUGGGAGUGGUUCUGCUACUGUGGAAAUGGCAAAAACUAAAGAUAGAGCUAUGAGAUGACCAAACCAUGCUGUUUCUGAUCAUACAAUGAAAAUAUUCUAAGUCUGAGCUGGAGAUAUGGAUGAGCAGGUAAGAGAACUGGCUAAUCUUCCACAGGACCUGAGUUCUAGUCCCAGCACCAACAUGGAAUCCAACAAUAAUCUAUAAUUCCAGUUUCAGGAGAUAAUGCACCUUCUGGUCUCUACAGGCUCUAGGCAUCCAAGAAGUCCAUAUAAUACAUGUCAGUAAGUUUCUCAUAUACAUAAAAAUAAAAAGACUCUAUAUCAACAUACUCAGAGAUAUUUUCACAUCCAUGUUCACUUCUCUGCUAUUCACAGUAGUUGAGAUACAACCUGUCUUAAUGUCCAUCAACAGAUGAAUGGAUAAAGAAAAUAUGGCACAUACAAAAUGAAAUUUUAUUCAGUUGUAAAGAAAAAUAAAAUCAUAUUUCUGGGAAAGUGUAUGGAACCAAAACAAACUAUUGUUUUAAGCAAUGACUCAUAAAGGAAAAUAUGAAUUUCUUUUAAACAGUUCCUAGAUUUUAUUUUUAUAUAUGUGUACAUGUGUAUAGUUAUGAAGUUGGAAAGGAGGCUGCAGAGAUAAAUGUGAGAAUUAUGAUUAAAGAAGAUAAUAAAGUGUGUGUCAAUCCAAUGUAAGAGAACCCUACUGAGGAAAGAAAGGGAGCAGUAGAAGGGUGUUAAGAAAGAGAAGUAAAGUGAGGAGUGAAUAUCAACAAAAAACAAAUAUUAUGAAAAUUGUAAAAUGAACCCAACUUUUCCUUUUCAUUAAAAAAUAGAACAAAUAGAUGUUAAUAACAUUUCAUCACAGGAGAUGGUUAAGAUGCAAACCAUAUCAAUAAGGCAAGACUCAAGGAAGAGGCUAGCAUAGUGUGGGAUUUUAAGGAUGGGUAUUACUGCAUUUAAAAGAUAGAAUGUUUCAGGUUGUCACCCACCCAACAGCAAUUGUGAGCAUGUCCUGACUUAACACAGAAUUCACUUAUGUAAAAAAAAAAAAGUGUUUGUAAAGUAGAUAUUCUACAUUACACAUGCUAGUUAGAGUUGCCAUUGCUUGAGCUUCACUCUUUCUGGACAAUGUUUGCAGUUGUAGUUCAGCAAUAGUUCCAAGGACAGUGAGAAGCCUACAAACCACCCAAAGUCUACACAUCACUUAGUGAAAGUGAAAGGGUAGUGGACAGAGAAAGGGCAAAUCUCCUUUGUGUGAACACAGACUUUCCCCUUUCCACUCUCUCAUCUUUGGAGUCCCUCUUUUACCUGCUCCUGUUCUAGAACUCCCCUUAAUUAAUUCAUUGGUGCAGGUGUUCAUCAGCACUUCUUUCUGCAUUUGUUGAAUUUGAAAUCAUUCUCUUUAAACUUUCCCCUUUGAAGGACAUUUUCAUUCAGCAUAGAGUUUUAAGUUGCCAGGUGUUUCUUCUGGCACUUCAAGGACAUUGUCGUGUUACAGCUUCUGUAUAGUUCACAUCAGUGCUCCUUUUACUGGUUUUCUCCUCAAAGUCAGUGCCAUCUUUUUUCUGUUUGCACUUUUGGUAUUUGGUUUUCAGAUAUUUUGCUAUGAUAUAUCCAGGUCUUUGUAAUUUUCCUCCUUAAAAGUCUGUAGAGCUUCUAAUUAUGGUGUCCACUUUUUUUUUGAAAACUCAUAGCAAUCUUCUCUCUCUCUCUCUCUCUCUCUCUC